CCAGGCUGCCCUUGCCCUCAUGUAGCUCCUGCCAGUCUCCCUGGGAACCUCUCCUGUUGGUGACAGCUCACAGUAUCUGCUUCUUACAUUCCUGUCCCCUGGUUCUGCUGAUGUUGGGUACUCAACUACAGCGAGCGCAGCCUGCUCCCAGUGUGGCUGUGAGGUGAUGGGGAGGUUUACUUCUCGACCCUCACCCUUAGUCAGGGUGGGAGCCUUCAAAAGAGCUCCUUCAUCCUGGCUGCUCCUUCACAUCCUGCUGGAGUCUCAUGGUGUUUGUGCAACUUUCCUGUCAGCUCGUGGGAGAAGUUCAAACAGUCUCGGCCUUCCUCUCGAGCUUCCUCUGCAGACAAGCAGCUUUCCCUGCUGGUCCCCUGCCCUGGUCUCUCGAGGAAACUACCUUUUCCUCUCUCCCUGCCUCCCUCUCGCAGGUCAUGGGAGUAUCCUGAGAGCAGAUGGGGCCAUCUGAAGCAGAAAAACCUCACAUAACAAGCAUUCUGAAGAUGGUUACCCAGCCAGCAACUGUAUCCCUCAGUUUUCCUUGAGAUGUCGUGGCUUUUAAAGGAACUUGUUGGUGGCGACAGCGUAAGCCGGAUGGAUUCUGAGUCCUUGAAGAGCCACAUAAAGGUUGCAGGCCACGCACUCACAUUAGACAGACGCGUGACUGAAAAAUAAACUCUUGCCUGAAGCUCCUGAAAAUGGCAGCUUUAUCGAGUCGA